rnacentral:rRNA from 1 species
AUCAACGUUGGCGGCGCGCUUAACACAUGCAAGUCGAACGAGAAAGUGGAGCAAUCCAUGAGUAAAGUGGCGUACGGGUGAGUAACACGUGGGUAUCCAUUCUUUGGUGGGGAAUAACUUUGGGAAACCGAAGCUAAUACCGCAUAAGUCCGAGAGGAGAAAGGUGAAAAUCGCCGAAGAGGGAGCCCGCGGCUGAUUAGCUAGUUGGUGAGGUAACGGCCCACCAAGGCGAAGAUCGGUAGCCGGCCUGAGAGGGCACACGGCCACACUGGCACUGAGACACGGGCCAGACUCCUACGGGAGGCAGCAGUGGGGAAUCUUGCACAAUGGGGGCAACCCUGAUGCAGCGACGCCGCGUGAACGAUGAAGCCCUUCGGGGUGUAAAGUUCUUUCGGCAGGAACGAUAAUGACGGUACCUGAAGAAGAAGCUGCGGCUAACUACGUGCCAGCAGCCGCGGUAA